GAUGAAGAACGUAGCGAAAUGCGAUAAGUAAUGUGAAUUGCAGAAUUCAGUGAAUCAUCGAGUCUUUGAACGCACAUUGCGCCCCCUGGUAUUCCGGGGGGCAUGCCUGUCCGAGCGUCAUUGCUGCCCUCAAGCACGGCUUGUGUGUUGGGCCUCCGUCCUCCUCCCGGGGGACGGGCCCGAAAGGCAGCGGCGGCACCGCGUCCGGUCCUCGAGCGUAUGGGGCUUCGUCACCCGCUCUUGUAGGCCCGGCCGGCGCUUGCCGACACAUCAGUCUUUUUUCCAGGUUGACCUCGGAUCAGGUAGGGAUACCCGCUGAACUUAAGCAUAUCAAUAAGCGGAGGA
rnacentral:misc_RNA from 1 species